AGUGAACACACGUUUGACACAAGUCGGUUUCCUCUCUGCACCAGGAAAAUACUUUCUACUGCACUUGUCAACAAGACAAAAUGAGUGACCAAGGCAAAGCGGAGGAGAGGGGAAAGAAGUCAGAUGAGGAGGAAAGCUCUGGGUCUGAGUCAGAGGGAGAAGGAGGAAUGGGGAAAAAGGGAAAAGGAAAAGGGAAAAACAGAGGCAAGGGAGGACAAGGACAAGGACAAGGACAAGGACAAGGACAAGGACAAGGACGUGGACAAGAAAUGCGUGGUGGUGGUCGUCCGUGAUGAAGAAAUCCUUCAAUUACCAUUCUGUGAUAAUGAUUGUACAGAAUUAAAUAUAUCUGUAAUAAACUAAUCCAGAAAUAA